UACAGAGGGUGCUAGCGUUGUCCGGAAUCACUGGGCGUAAAGGGCGCGUAGGCGGCCCGGUAAGCAGGGGGUGAAAUCUUGCGGCUCAACCGCAAGGCUGCCUUCUGAACUGCCGGGCUGGAGCACGGUAGAGGCAGAUGGAAUUCCCGGUGUAGCGGUGGAAUGCGUAGAGAUCGGGAGGAACACCGGUGGCGAAGGCGGCAUCCUGGACCGACACUGACGCUGAGGCGCGAAAGCCAGGGGAGCAAACGGG
rnacentral:rRNA from 1 species